rnacentral:rRNA from 1 species
CCUACGGGCGGCAGCAGUGAGGAAUAUUGGUCAAUGGACGCAAGUCUGAACCAGCCAUGCCGCGUGCAGGAAGACGGUCCUAUGGAUUGUAAACCUCUUUUGUCGGGGAGCAAAAGACGCCACGCGUGGCGUUCCGAGAGUCCCCGAAGAAAAAGCAUCCGCAAACUCCGUGCCAGCAGCCGCGGUAAUACGGAGGAUGCGAGGGUUACCCGGAUUUAUUGGGUUUAAAGGGUGCGCAGGCGGAAGAGCAAGUCAGAGGUAAAAUUGAGAGGCUCAACCUCUUCGUGCCGUUGAAACUGGUUGUCUUGAGUGAGCGAGAAGUAUGCGGAAUGCGUGGUGUAGCGGUGAAAUGCAUAGAUAUCACGCAGAACUCCGAUUGCGAAGGCAGCAUACUGGCGUGCAACUGACGCUCAUGCACGAAAGUGUGGGUAUCGAACAGGAUUAGAUACCCGAGUAGUC